CCUCUGCAACUGGAGACUGGGAAACCCUCUCCAAUCUUCAUAAAGAGAACCCAGGAAAGAUCUGCUCUAAACCAGUUGAUAUUGAAGCCAGAACUCUAUCUGGACUCAGUGUGGCUGCAGCAGGGGAUGUGAUUUUUAAAAGGGACACAACUACAGGAUUCGUCUGCAGAAACCAGGACCAACCCAGAAAUAGGAAGUGUAAUGAUUAUCGGGUUCGUUUCAGCUGCCAUCCCUCUUUUUGUAGUGGAGGUGGAGAAUUGACACAACUUCAGGAUUCAUUUGCAGAAACCAGGACCAACCCAAGAACAAGAGGUGUAAUGAUUAUCGUGUUCGUUUCAGCUGCUAUCCCCCUUUCUGUGGAGUGUGCUGGACCAAGUGCUAUGACUGCGACGAUCCCAUUGGAAUAGGGGACUGGGAGCUUUUGAGUAACCUGAGGACAGAAAACCCGGGAAAAAUCUGUGACCACUCUCUGAACAUUCAGGCUGUUACAAUUGACACAUUGACCCCAGCCAUCUCCACAGGGCAGACCUUCUUUAUCUACAAUCCAACUGACGGAUUUGUUUGCCGCAAUAAGGACCAGAAAUCUGGCGCGUACCGUGACUACAAAGUUCGGUUUGGGUGCCCAUGCAAUUAAGUCCUGACUCCACAGCUGAAAAGGAUAAGAAGACACAACAUUCACAUACAUUUUUCUCAGAUUUUUCUUUACUAUUAUUUUGUAUUCCUUCCUGGGCCUGAUGGAAGCAUUAUAAUACUCUUUUUCACAGCAGAUAUUUAAACUUGUAGGAAAAGCAAAUGUAUAGUAACAUUAACAGUGGCUCUGUUCUAUUCAAGUGUCCCAGUGAGCCAUGUGUGACAGUGAGCCAGUAUGUGAGAUCCUGCUACCAGGACCCUAAAGGCUAUGCAGCUAAAUGGAAUUCAGUCAUAGUUAAUUUUACUAUUUACGCCUAUGCUUUUUCUACCUAGACAUGGCAAAAUAUCUCCUGUGGAAAAAGGCCUAUUAUGUGCUUUAUCAGACUUCUUUUCAUUCUAGUGAUUAUGAAAUCAUUAUCUUGUAUUGUAGGAAAUAAAUCAACAGUAAACCGCAAUAAAUACUGCUAACAAAAAGCUAAUUCCGGUGAGGAAAUUAUCAGCUUUGGCUUUUCUAAUUGCAACUGUGCUAUGUCAAGACUUGUUCUCCUUGUUUUUGCCCAUGCCACAUUGCACACUCCGAAGUGAACAACACAUUGUUUGUGUCUUUACAAUGUACUUUCUGAGGGCAGUAUGCAUGUCAACAGUUUCAGUAAAACCAUAAUAAAAGAAUUUCACUGAUGUGAGCCUACACCAAAACAAGUUCCCUUGAAUGUACUACUAAAUGACUACAUUUAGUGUGAAAGACAUCACUCAAUGAUUAACCCACAGAGAAUUAUCACUUGACCCCUCAGUUUCCCUCAGCUACUGUAUACAGAGCUUUUUUAGCAUUUUUUUUUUAGCAUUUAGGACAUUGUUUUAGUCAUACGGCCAUAGUGUUGUUUUUACCCUCUCGACUAUGUUAGAUAACAAUAUGUCAAUGUUGUGUUUACGGCUUGUUCCGCUGACCCCAAGUGCCUAA